rnacentral:rRNA from 1 species
UGAACCGUAGGGAGGUUCAGGAAACAAGAGCUGGGCAAGACCCGGUGCCCAGCCGCCGCGGUAAUACCGGCAGCUUCGAGUGAUGACCGAUUUUAUUGGGCCUAAAGCGUCCGUAGCUGGCCGCGCAAGUCUGUCGGGAAAUCCACCCGCUUAACGGGUGGGCGUCCGGCGGAAACUGUGCGGCUUGGGACAGGAAGGCUCGAGGGGUACGUUCGGGGUAGGAGUGAAAUCCUGUAAUCCUGAACGGACCACCGAUGGCGAAAGCACCUCGAGAGGACUGAUCCGACAGUGAGGGACGAAAGCUGGGGUCUCGAACCGGAUUAGAUACCCGGGUAGUCCCAGCCGUAAACGAUGUUCGCUAGGUGUGUCACUCACUACGAGUGAGUGAUGUGCCGCAGGGAAGCCGCUAAGCGAACCGCCUGGGAAGUACGUCCGCAAGGAUGAAACUUAAAGGAAUUGGCGGGGGAGCACUACAACCGGAGGAGCCUGCGGUUUAAUUGGACUCAACGCCGGUAACCUUACCAGCCCCGACUACGGUGAUGACGGCCAGGUUGAUGACCUCGUCACGACGCCGUAGAGAGGUGGUGCAUGGCCGCCGUCAGCUCGUACCGUGAGGCGUCCUGUUAAGUCAGGCAACGAGCGAGACCCGCACUCUUAAUUGCCAGCAUGUCCCUUGUGGAUGAUGGGUACAUUAGGAGGACUGCCGCCGCCAAGGCGGAGGAAGGAACGGGCAACGGUAGGUCAGUAUGCCCCGAAUGGGCUGGGCAACACGCGGGCUACAAUGGCCGAGACAAUGGGUUCCCACCCCGAGAGGGAGCGGUAAUCUCAGAAACUCGGUCGUAGUUCGGAUUGCGGACUGCAACUCGUCCGCAUGAAGCUGGAUUCGGUAGUAAUCGCAUCCA